GGGGGGAAGGGAGGGGGUGUGAGAGAUCCUGGGAGCGAGAGGGAGAGAGAGGGAGCAAGAAAGGAAGAGAGAGCGAGCGAGAGAGAGCGAGCGAAUAAGAGAGAGAGUAAGAGAGAGAGAGAAGAAGAGGAAGAAGAGGAGGCGGCGGCAGCGGAGGAGGAGGAGGACUAGUGUGGGGUGGAAAGGAAGAGUGAGCGAGAGCAAGUUAAGGGGAGGGGGUGUAAGAGCCAGCGAAUUCUUUUUCUUUUUCUAUUAUUAUUUUGACGACUCCUGAGUUGCGCCCAUGCUCUUGUCAGCUUCGUUUUAGGCGUAGCAUGGCCAGGCAGAAGAAAAUGGGGCAAAGCGUGCUCCGGGCGGUCUUCUUUUUAGUCCUGGGGCUUUUGGGUCAUUCUCACGGAGGAUUCCCCAACACCAUCAGCAUAGGUGGACUUUUCAUGAGAAACACAGUGCAGGAGCACAGCGCUUUCCGCUUUGCCGUGCAGUUAUACAACACCAACCAGAACACCACCGAGAAGCCCUUCCAUUUGAAUUACCACGUAGAUCACUUGGAUUCCUCCAAUAGUUUUUCCGUGACAAAUGCUUUCUGCUCCCAGUUCUCGAGAGGGGUGUAUGCCAUCUUUGGAUUCUAUGACCAGAUGUCAAUGAACACCCUGACCUCCUUCUGUGGGGCCCUGCACACAUCCUUUGUUACGCCUAGCUUCCCCACUGACGCAGAUGUGCAGUUUGUCAUCCAGAUGCGCCCAGCCUUGAAGGGCGCUAUUCUGAGUCUUCUGGGUCAUUACAAGUGGGAGAAGUUUGUGUACCUCUAUGACACAGAACGAGGAUUUUCCAUCCUCCAAGCGAUUAUGGAAGCAGCAGUGCAAAACAACUGGCAAGUAACAGCAAGGUCUGUGGGAAACAUAAAGGACGUCCAAGAAUUCAGGCGCAUCAUUGAAGAAAUGGACAGGAGGCAGGAAAAGCGAUACUUGAUUGACUGCGAAGUCGAAAGGAUUAACACAAUUUUGGAACAGGUUGUGAUCCUAGGGAAACACUCAAGAGGUUAUCACUACAUGCUCGCUAACCUGGGUUUUACUGAUAUUUUACUGGAAAGAGUCAUGCAUGGGGGAGCCAACAUUACAGGUUUCCAGAUUGUCAACAAUGAAAACCCUAUGGUUCAGCAGUUCAUACAGCGCUGGGUGAGGCUGGAUGAAAGGGAAUUCCCUGAAGCCAAGAAUGCACCACUAAAGUAUACAUCUGCAUUGACACACGACGCAAUACUGGUCAUAGCAGAAGCUUUCCGCUACCUGAGGAGGCAGCGAGUAGAUGUGUCCCGGAGAGGAAGUGCUGGAGACUGCUUAGCAAAUCCUGCUGUGCCCUGGAGUCAAGGAAUUGAUAUUGAGAGAGCUCUGAAAAUGGUGCAAGUACAAGGAAUGACUGGAAAUAUUCAAUUUGACACUUAUGGACGUAGGACAAAUUAUACCAUCGAUGUGUAUGAAAUGAAAGUCAGUGGCUCUCGAAAAGCUGGCUACUGGAAUGAGUAUGAAAGGUUUGUGCCUUUCUCAGAUCAGCAAAUCAGCAAUGACAGUGCAUCCUCAGAGAAUCGGACCAUAGUAGUGACUACCAUUCUGGAAUCACCAUAUGUAAUGUACAAGAAGAACCAUGAGCAACUGGAAGGAAAUGAACGAUAUGAAGGCUAUUGUGUAGACCUAGCCUAUGAAAUAGCCAAACAUGUAAGGAUCAAAUACAAAUUGUCCAUCGUUGGUGACGGGAAAUAUGGUGCAAGGGAUCCAGAGACUAAAAUAUGGAACGGCAUGGUUGGGGAACUUGUCUAUGGGAGAGCUGAUAUAGCUGUUGCUCCACUCACUAUAACAUUGGUCCGUGAAGAAGUCAUAGAUUUUUCAAAGCCAUUCAUGAGCCUGGGCAUCUCCAUCAUGAUAAAGAAGCCUCAGAAAUCAAAACCAGGCGUAUUCUCAUUUCUGGAUCCCCUGGCUUAUGAAAUCUGGAUGUGCAUUGUCUUUGCUUACAUUGGAGUCAGCGUAGUUCUUUUCCUAGUCAGCAGAUUCAGUCCUUAUGAAUGGCACUUGGAAGACAACAAUGAAGAACUUCGUGACCCACAAAGUCCUCCUGAUCCUCCAAAUGAAUUUGGAAUAUUUAACAGUCUUUGGUUUUCCUUGGGUGCCUUUAUGCAGCAAGGAUGUGAUAUUUCUCCAAGAUCACUCUCCGGGCGCAUUGUUGGAGGGGUUUGGUGGUUCUUCACCCUGAUCAUAAUUUCUUCCUAUACUGCCAAUCUCGCUGCUUUCCUGACUGUGGAGAGGAUGGUUUCUCCCAUAGAGAGUGCUGAAGACUUAGCUAAACAGACUGAAAUUGCAUAUGGGACCCUGGACUCCGGUUCAACAAAAGAAUUUUUCAGAAGAUCCAAAAUUGCUGUGUACGAGAAAAUGUGGUCUUACAUGAAAUCAGCGGAGCCAUCUGUGUUUACCAAAACAACAGCAGACGGAGUGGCCCGAGUGCGAAAGUCCAAGGGAAAGUUCGCCUUCCUGCUGGAGUCAACCAUGAAUGAGUACAUUGAGCAGAGAAAACCAUGUGAUACGAUGAAAGUUGGUGGAAAUCUGGAUUCCAAAGGCUAUGGUGUGGCAACCCCUAAAGGCUCAGCAUUAAGAAAUGCUGUUAACCUGGCAGUAUUAAAACUGAAUGAGCAAGGCCUCUUGGACAAAUUGAAAAACAAAUGGUGGUACGACAAAGGAGAGUGCGGCAGCGGGGGCGGUGACUCCAAGAACGCCUGUAAACCUUGCAGUAUUGAAACUCAGUGAACAAGGCAUCUUAGACAAGCUGAAAAACAAAUGGUGGUACGAUAAGGGGGAAUGUGGAGCCAAGGACUCCGGGAGUAAGGACAAGACCAGCGCUCUGAGCCUGAGCAAUGUGGCAGGCGUUUUCUAUAUACUUGUCGGAGGUCUGGGGCUGGCCAUGAUGGUGGCUUUGAUAGAAUUCUGUUACAAAUCACGGGCAGAGUCCAAACGCAUGAAACUCACAAAGAACACCCAAAACUUUAAGCCUGCUCCUGCCACCAACACUCAGAAUUAUGCUACAUACAGAGAAGGCUACAACGUGUAUGGAACAGAGAGUGUUAAGAUCUAGGGAUCCCUUCCCACUGGAGGCAUGUGAUGAGAGGAAAUCACCGAAAACGUGGCUGCUUCAAGGAUCCUGAGCCAGAUUUCACUCUCCUUGGUGUCGGGCAUGACACGAAUAUUGCUGAUGGUGCAAUGACCUUUCAAUAGGAAAAACUGAUUUUUUUUUCCUUCAGUGCCUUAUGGAACACUCUGAGACUCGCGACAAUGCAAAACAUCAUUGAAAUCUUUUUGCUUUGCUUGAAAAAAAAUAAUUAAAAUAAAAACCAACAAAAAUGGACAUGCAAGAUUCCAGUAUGCGAAAAAAAAUCUUAUUAAGUCAAUUCAACAAAAGCCAUUCUUUGAUACCACUGCAGAGUAUACAAACACCAUGUUCUUUAAUACACACACACACACACACACACACACACACACACACACACAUUUAAAUUCCAAUUCAGCAAAGAGGCCCAUCUAAGCUAAAAAAAUUAAUUCUUCCUGAUUAAAAAGAAAAAAUCUGUCUCCCAGUGUUUGGGAAGACGGACUGGCAUUUCUUCUAGGAUCUGCUGACCAGAUGUUUUUGGUAUUUCCUGUUGGUGGUGAUGUUCUGUGCACUCUAUUUCCUUUCAAUGUUGCUGAAAUGUGUAUAUCUUUAGAAUGUAAAUGCAACACUUAAGAAAAUUCAAACACUUUGGAAAAGGGACUAAACAGUGAUUUCUCUGUGUUCUUGAAAUGGUUUUGUGAAAACGCUUUGAUAACUUCCCACUCAAAGAAGAGAUUUACAGAGCUUUCGAAAUUGACUUUGUGUGUAGCAAGGGACGGGGCACUAUCAGGAUACCUCUUGGUGCUUUCCUAAAAUGGAUCCCGGGGCUUUCCAAGGAGCCUGGAAUUUCAGCUCACAGAUCUGUUUUUCUUGCUUCAGUGUGCAUUUUAAGUCAAUAGAGCUGAGUAUCUAGCAUUGAGGUGAGGGAAAUGCUGCCUAUACUCCCAGAUGUGUUUAGAAUAUCUCAGAAACAACACUGUGUUUAGCUCGGCUUUCUCUGCUAAGUAUGCCUUUCAAGUGUACACCACGGAGACAGGACCGCGUUGCAAGGCGGGACAGCAGGUUCAGACCACAGUUCUCAGUCUGACUUUACUCUUGCUAGGUCUGUCCUACUAGCUGUUGCCUGCUACCGCCCAUGGCUCUCCAUCGGACUGCAUGUGUCCUUUUCUAGUUUGCAAAGACUAAAAUGCAUUCCCAAACCUACUGCUAAUCUGAGGGCCUCAGCAUCACUUCCAGAUCCUUGCUUGGAGCAGUCUCUCUAUUGACUCUCUCAGAUCGCUCCACUGCUCCAUGGGCUAUCAAGUAACUAACUGCAUACCUGCCGUUGGCAUCAUCAGAACAGUCCGAAGAAAUAGUCUCCACUCACUAAUUACCUCCUAUAUAACGACGUAUGCUUCCUGUAGUUCAGUAGUUUGCUCUCAUCGAUAACGUGCAUUGGGAAGUUUCCAGACUGCAAAAACUAGGAGCUCGCAUUCAUUUCCCAAGUGUGACCCUUAGAUGCUUAGUUGACUCGCUGCAUAUUUGCUCUUGUCUUCAGAAAAGAAAGGAAGAAGUAUCGUUCCAACGAAAUGUUUCCAGAAAAGUGUAAUAUAAACUUUCAUUCCAAAAAUGGUGUCAUAAGCAAACAACUCACUUGUCAAAUUUCAAAUGGUAUUGAACAAAAAAAGAAAGCUGUUGUGUUUUUGUUUUGUUUUGUUUUCAUGAAACUGUGAUUUUCAACUUAUGAAUGCUAUAAUGUCCCAGCGCGGGAAGCUCACGCUGUGUGAACAUGAAGUUGUAUAAAACAAACCAACCAACCUACACACAAAUGUUUUCAUAGGCACUGUAUAAAGAAAAAUGUAUGUUUAUUAACUCAAAUCAGUUUUUCAGAGAGGAAACGUCACUGAGAUGAAGAGGCGGGUAAAUUGGUUUGUUAUUUUUUAAAAAAACUUGCAUGUUUAAAAAAAAGUUGAUUGCUUCAAAUUUCUGCUACUAACUUCAAGCUAUGGGAGUUUGGCAGUAGUCACUUGAGGAUUUUUUUUCCAAUUCUUUUCUUUUUGUUGUUAAAGCUGUACUUCAGUGAACAGAAAAAUUGCCAAGCAAACUAAUGGCUAUAAAAGCGUAAAUUGCAUGUGUGGGCAUAAAUUACAGAGCCUCAUUGCCAUGAGGUAUUGUACAAAGUUUUAAUACAUUUUGUAAAUAAAAUUGUAAAGAAAGAA